rnacentral:rRNA from 1 species
UUGACCUCAAAUCAGGUAGGACUACCCGCUGAACUUAAGCAUAUCAAUAAGCGGAGGAAAAGAAACUAACAAGGAUUCCCUUAGUAACUGCGAGUGAAGAGGGAAGAGCUCAAAUUUAAAAUCUGGCAGUGUUUUGCUGUCCGAG